rnacentral:tRNA from 1 species
GUAGGCUUAGCUCAGCUGGGAUAGCGUCCGCCUUACAAGCGGAGGGCCUGCGGUUCGAUCCCGUUGACCUUCCU